AUGACUUGGACUCCACUGCUCCUUGUCUUCCUUCAUCACAUCACAGGUGAGAUCAUAUGGCAGUUCACGCUGACUCAACCAAAGUCCAUGUCAGGAUCUUUAAGAAGCACUAUCACCAUUUCCUGUAAGCGCAGCAGUGGUGACAUUGGAGAUAGCUAUGUGAGCUGGUACCAGCAACACUUGGGAAGACCUCCCACCAAUGUGAUCUAUGGUGAUGAUCAAAGACCAUCUGAAGUGUCUGAUCGGUUCUCUGGCUCCAUUGACAGCUCCUGUAACUCAGCCUCACUGACCAUCACUAAUCUGCAGAUGGAAGAUGAGGCCGACUACUUCUGUCAGUCUUACGAUAGUAAUCCUGUUAUUAAUCACAGUGAUGCACAUCACGGAGGAAGGUCAUGUGCCCAGGUUGUGCUUACUCAGCCAAACUCUGUGUCUACGUCUCUAGGAAGCACAGUCAAACUGUCUUGCAAGCGCAGCACUGGUAACAUUGGAAGCAGCUAUGUGCACUGGUACCAGCAGCAUGAGUGA